rnacentral:rRNA from 1 species
AUUGAACGCUGGCGGCAUGCCUUACACAUGCAAGUCGAACGGUAACAGGUCUUCGGAUGCUGACGAGUGGCGAACGGGUGAGUAAUACAUCGGAACGUGCCCAGUAGUGGGGGAUAACUACUCGAAAGAGUGGCUAAUACCGCAUGAGAUCUACGGAUGAGAGCAGGGGAUCGCAAGACCUUGUGCUACUAUAGCGGCCGGUGGCAGAUUAGGUAGUUGGUGGGAUAAAAGCUUACCAAGCCGACGAUCUGUAGCUGGUCUGAGAGGACGAUCAGCCACACUGGGACUGAGACACGGCCCAGACUCCUACGGGAGGCAGCAGUGGGGAAAUUUGGACAAUGGGCGAAAGCCUGAUCCAGCAAUGCCGCGUGCAGGAUGAAGGCCUUCGGGUUGUAAACUGCUUUUGUACGGAACGAAAAGCCCCGGGUUAAUACCCUGGGGUCAUGACGGUACCGUAAGAAUAAGCACCGGCUAACUACGUGCCAGCCGCCGCCGUAA